GGGCCUAUAGCUCAGCUGGGAGAGCGCUUCAAUGGCAUUGAAGAGGUCGUGAGUUCGAAUCUCACUAGGUCCACAA
rnacentral:tRNA from 1 species